rnacentral:tRNA from 1 species
GGCCUCGUAGCUCAGCUGGUAGAGCGUGCGCUGUACAAAAAUGUAGGCGUCGUCCAUCCGUGGGUUUGAGUCCCACCGGGGCUA